rnacentral:rRNA from 1 species
AGCAGCCGCGGUAAUUCCAGCUCCAAUAGCGUAUAUUAAAGUUGCUGCGGUUAAAAAGCUCGUAGUUGAAUUUCGGGACCAAUAUGUCGGUCGUGCCUCGGUACGUACUGGCAUCGUUGGUUUCUCCCUUCUGACGAACCAUGAUGUCAUUUAUUUGGUGUCGUGGGGAAUCAGGACUGUUACUUUGAAAAAAUUAGAGUGUUUAAAGCAGGCUCACGCUUGAAUACAUUAGCAUGGAAUAAUGAAAUAGGACGUUUGAUUCUAUUUUGUUGGUUUCUAGGAUUGACGUAAUGAUUAAUAGGGAUAGUUGGGGGCAUUAGUAUUCAAUUGUCAGAGGUGAAAUUCUUGGAUUUAUUGAAGACUAACUACUGCGAAAGCAUUUGCCAAGGAUGUUUUCAUUAAUCAAGAACGAAAGUUAGGGGAUCGAAGACGAUCAGAUACCGUCGUAGUCUUAACCAUAAACUAUGCCGACUAGGGAUCGGAUGAUGUUAAUUUUUAAUGACUCAUUCGGCGCCUUAAC